AUUCUUAUCGAUAACGCGUUUUCCUUGUAAUUUACAGGGCGGUGACAGAUCCGAGGGAUGGUAGGAGAGUGGCCUUGAAAAAACUGCCGAAUGUCUUUCAGAGCCUCGUGAGCAGCAAACGAGUCUUCAGGGAGUUGAAGAUGCUCUGCUUCUUCAAACACGAAAACGUUCUCUCGGCCCUGGACAUCCUUCAACCACCUCACCUGGACUUCUUCCAAGAAAUGUAUCCUUUUCUAUAUAUAUACUCGACGAGAACACAAAGUUAAAAACAGGUUUGUCUUUUCGGAGAAGUCCGAAAACGCUGAUUCCUUUACUCGUCGACUCGUGUUUCCGGGACUUUGUACUCGGCCUCCUCUAUGGGAAUAAAUUCCAAGCCUCGAGGCGAGAGAGUUAUAAAGAAUUCUACGUGGAAAUAUCGCGAUUUUAACUGCGUUCUUCCAAGAAGAU